UACGUAGGUGGCAAGCGUUGUCCGGAAUUACUGGGCGUAAAGAGUGUGUAGGCGGUGUUCUAAGUCUGUUGUGAAAUCUCCCGGCUUAACUGGGAGGGUGCGGCGGAGACUGGAAUGCUAGAGUGUGGGAGAGGUAAGCGGAAUUCCUGGUGUAGCGGUGAAAUGCGUAGAUAUCAGGAGGAACACCAAUGGCGAAGGCAGCUCGCUGGAACGGUACUGACGCUGAGGCGCGAAAGCGUGGGGAGCAAACAGG
rnacentral:rRNA from 1 species